GAAGAACAAGAAAGAAGAAGAAGGUAGAUUAGUUUGUUUCUGUGGGCCGUAGAUGGUAUAAUGUAGGUACAUUACCGGGAACCUCUGUGAACAAACGGUAAGGGGGGUGUCAAACAUACGGCUCGCCGGCCAAUAUUGGCCCACUUAGGGUUUCAAUCCGGCCCACUUGAUGAAUUUUUAAAUU